rnacentral:rRNA from 1 species
AUUGAACGCUGGCGGCAUGCUUUACACAUGCAAGUCGAACGGCAGCGCGGGGCAACCUGGCGGCGAGUGGCGGAACGGGUGAGUAAUAUAUCGGAACGUACCCAAGAGUGGGGGAUAACGUAGCGAAAGUUACGCUAAUACCGCAUACGAUCUAUGGAUGAAAGCAGGGGAUCUUCGGACCUUGUGCUCCUGGAGCGGCC